rnacentral:rRNA from 1 species
UACGUAGGGGGCAAGCGUUGCUCGGAAUUACUGGGCGUAAAGGGUGUGCAGGCGGCCGGUUCAGUCGAAGAUGAAAUCCCGAGGCUCAACUUCGGAACGGUCUUCGAUACUGAUCGGCUUGAGGCUGGUUGAGGAGAGCGGAAUUCCCGGUGGAGCGGUGAAAUGCGUAGAUAUCGGGAGGAACACCAGAGGCGAAGGCGGCUCUCUAAACUAGUCCUGACGCUGAGACACGAAAGCUAGGGGAGCAAACGGG